rnacentral:rRNA from 1 species
UACGGAGGGUGCAAGCGUUAAUCGGAUUUACUGGGCGUAAAGGGCUCGUAGGCGGCCAACUAAGUCGGAUGUGAAAUCCCCAGGCUCAACUUGGGAACUGCAUCCGAUACUGGAUGGCUUGAAUUCGGGAGAGGGAUGCAGAAUUCCAGGUGUAGCGGUGAAAUGCGUAGAUAUCUGGAGGAAUACCGGUGGCGAAGGCGGCAUCCUGGACCGACAUUGACGCUGAGGAGCGAAAGCUAGGGGAGCAAACGGG